AUCAUUAGCUGUACGUCGUCAAACUUCAGGGAGUGAGUGGAAAUCAUUCUGAUCGUACAACGCAGGCGAUCCGUUGCCUUUGCCGUAUGUCACGGCAAAAACUAGCUUAUUGUUCGCGGUGACUUCUACAAACAAGGAAGCUUUGCGCAGCAAUGAUUCAGUCUGAUAUAUCAACGGGAGGGAUGGAUAUACGCAACGAUGCGUUGUAAGGGCUCCGUGUUUCUCUAUUCUUGUGACUGUGAUAUCGAAUUUCCAACUGUAGAAACAGAGGCUUGCGGAUGUCGUAAUCACAAAGUGUAUGCUUCGCCGACGAACGUGCAUAUUUCUUCGUGUUCGGCGCACGUGUGGAAGCACAGGUUGCUUCGUUGUUAUGGUGCGGAACGUGUCGGCUCUUGUCCCGAAAAAUUGAUAUUCCAUAGUCUCUGUCACUAAAUAUUGACCGUGACUGUUUCCCUUCAUUUGUUCGUGAAGACUGUAUCCCGUAAUGUGGGUGCAGUGACCGCGCACUGAUACAUUGUAGUGACGGAUAGAACCGCCUUCCGCAACUAUAUCGAGCCACAAAUUGUUCAGGAACUUUUCGGGGAUUUUAGGAGUGGCCACGAAGACGAUAGAACCUGUCCACUGUGGUGGCGUCGGUAGACGGCAACUCGGUGUGCGAAAAAAAACUCCUCUUGCAUGGUAGAACGACUGGGGGACACCGUCUUUCAACACCCAAGCGAAUGUUUUGGCUACGAAAUACAGAGGGGCAUUGACUGCUUUUGGGCCGAUGGCAGUGAGAUCCACAACUGACCGGAGAAACAGGAACAUGCUAAGGUAGGUCCUGAAAAGGCAAGUGGCGACGCUGUGGAGGUGAAAUGGCAUCUUCAUAUUGCGACACAGAGGGAGUAAAUAACAGCUUGCACCGAUGCUCAGGUAGGUGACAGCAAGCACCUUCCAAGAGGCGCAUCCGGCCGUGUGCUUUGACGUCCCACCGCCAACGGAUGUUGCUUGAAUUUCCUUCUCAGGAGAAUCCAGUGUAUCACAUUACAGCGAAUGUAUUACUGAGAGAUUUCUUCAGACGGGGGCUUGAUUGUGUAUCAUUUUGAUCUCCAGAGGAGUGUAGCUGACACAUUUACGUCACCUUAUCCUCACUGUAGUUGGCGAACGUAGCGUAUGAUUUCGCUUGAGUCAUAUCAUAGUUGUAUCAAUGUGCGCCGCCACUUCCACUAGCCUUCGUGCAAAAACAAAAAACAACUUCAAUCAAUAGAAAACAUCAUAGUCCCUCUUGCGCGCACAAACUGGCGUUUCUUGCCUUU
rnacentral:lncRNA from 1 species